AGCCCGAACUCGUCCAAUCUUGCCGGAGCCAGGGAGCAGAGGAGCUCGGCCAACUUCGCUUCACCGUCGUACGAUGUCUGGGGCCCUUGUACGCACCACCACCGGACCCCCUCACUCUGCCGCUUCCGCCUGUGCACUCGCCGGAGCGCCUCGACCACCGGAACGCGCUCGCCGUCAACCACCGUACGUCAUCACUGCUGUCACACUCGCCGCCGUCGCUCCCGCCAUCCCUGAGUCACGCCAAAGAGACCUUCGUGCUCGCCACCGUCGCCCACGUCGAACGGAGCCCUCCCUAAAGCCGGAGACCCACGGGAGGAGCCGCCUGCGUCAACCCCGAGCCGCCACCACCGCCGACAACCUAGACGGAGUUUACCUCCACCGUGCAUACUAAUCCAGGGAUGGCACGGAUACACAGAGGCUUGACCGUCUGAGGUUGAGUCGCUACAGCUAGUGAGUCCGUCGACCUGCUCCGACGGCGCUUCUUCUACUUCAACACAAAUGCACGGCAUUUACGGUUUGGCGCCAUUGAGAUUGAUGAUGCAUGAGGAUGUCGCGAGGUGCCGAGGAGAGAAGUACCUCCUAGAUCUGAGAUUUGCAAGCACCAGACGAAAUGGCAACGCGAGCCAGACGGGGGUCGGGCGUGUUAAUCAGUACAAUUUGUUGUUGUCUGGUUGUUUUCUGGUGAAAUGUUAAUUGUUGGCAUGGGUGGUGAUAUUAGCUAGUGUUGAAAGGAAAUUCAAGUAUUUCUCUGUUUCAUGUAUGUGUUGUCCGAACAAAGUAAUGCAAUGAAAUGAAAUC